rnacentral:lncRNA from 1 species
UUUCUUGGAAUCAAAAGAUUCCAUUGAGCCUGAUUAAUGAUUUUUUUUAAUUUCAAGUCCCAAAGAGUGUUGUAGUUUGUAUUCAACGUUGAUGGUAGAUAUGUAGGUGGAAAUUCUCUGUCAAAAUAGGUACGGACUGCUCUAGGUGUCACUCCUUUCAAUAACAAAGCUAGGCGGACAUAAUUUUCUUCUUCAUCAGAAAGAGGUGCCAUGGCUUCAGAAAAGGUUUGCUAAUGGCCAAGAAAAACCUAUAUCACCAUGACCGUUAUUACUGAAUGUAUACCU